rnacentral:rRNA from 1 species
AUUGAACGCUGGCGGCAUGCUUUACACAUGCAAGUCGAACGGUAACAGGCCUUCGGGUGCUGACGAGUGGCGAACGGGUGCGUAAUGCAUCGGAACGUGCCCAGAGGCGGGGGAUAACGCAGCGAAAGCUGUGAUAAUACCGCAUGUGAUCUGAGGAUGAAAGCGGGGGACCAGGCAGCAAAGUUUGGCCUCGCGCCUUUGGAGCAGCCGAUGUCAGAUUAGGUAGUUGGUGAGGUAAAGGCCUACCAAGCCGACGAUCUGUAGCUGGUCUGAGAGGAGGACCAGCCACACUGGGACUGAGACACGGCCCAGACUCCUACGGGAGGCAGCAGUAGGGAAUUUUGGACAAUGGGCGCAAGCCUGAUCCAGCAAUGCCGCGUGCGGGAAGAAGGCCUUCGGGUUGUAAACCUCUUUUAUACGGAACGAAAAGACGCUGGCGAAUACCUGGGGCUGAUGACGGUACCGAAAGAAUAAGCACCGGCUAACUACGUG